rnacentral:rRNA from 1 species
UGAUGGCGACCGGCGCACGGGUGAGUAACGCGUAUCCAACCUUCCCGCUGCAGGGGGAUAACCCGGUGAAAGCCGGACUAAUACCCCAUAAUCCCCGUUGACGGCAUCCGAUUCGGGGCAAAGUUUUUUUUCGGCAGCGGAUGGGGAUGCGUCCGAUUAGUUAGUUGGUGAGGUAACGGCUCACCAAGGCUUUGAUCGGUAGGGGUUCUGAGAGGAAGGCCCCCCACAUUGGGACUGAGACACGGCCCAAACUCCUACGGGAGGCAGCAGUGCUGAAUAUUGGUCAAUGGGCGCAAGCCUGAACCAGCCAAGUAGCGUGGAGGACGACUGCCCUAUGGG